rnacentral:rRNA from 1 species
UACAGAGGGUGCAAGCGUUGUUCGGAAUUAUUGGGCGUAAAGCGCGUGUAGGCGGCUUAGCAAGUCGGGUGUGAAAGCCCUCAGCUUAACUGAGGAAGUGCGCCCGAAACUGCUUUGCUUGAGUACCAGAGAGGAUGGCGGAAUUCCCGAAGUAGAGGUGAAAUUCGUAGAUAUCGGGAGGAACACCGGUGGCGAAGGCGGCCAUCUGGAUGGAUACUGACGCUGAGACGCGAAAGCGUGGGUAGCAAACAGG